CCUACGGGAGGCAGCAGUGAGGAAUAUUGGUCAAUGGACGCAAGCCUGAACCAGCCAUGCCGCGUGCGGGAAGACGGCUCUAUGAGUUGUAAACUGCUUUUGUACGAGGGUAAACGCAGAUACGAGUAUCUGUCUGAAAGUACCGUACGAAUAAGGAUCGGCUAACUCCGUGCCAGCAGCCGCGGUAAUACGGAGGAUUCAAGCGUUAUCCGGAUUUAUUGGGUUUAAAGGGUGCGUAGGCGGUCGGAUAAGUUAGAGGUGAAAUCCCGAGGCUCAACUUCGGAAUUGCCUCUGAUACUGUUCGGCUAGAGAGUAGUAGCGGUAGGCGGAAUGUAUGGUGUAGCGGUGAAAUGCUUAGAGAUCAGACAGAACACCGAUUGCGAAGGCAGCUUACCGAGCUAAUUCUGACGUUGAGGCACGAAAGCGUGGGGAGCAAACAGGAUUAGAUACCCCUGUAGUC
rnacentral:rRNA from 1 species